AAGGCAAGAAAACCGCGCGCUCCGCGGUCGG
rnacentral:sRNA from 1 species